UGUUGAUUGCAAAAGUUUACUCUUGCAAGAAUUUUUGUUCUUUCUUGAAAAUAAAAUAAAUUUAAUAUUAUAAUAAAUGAAAAUACAACACUUGAAUCAAUUAAGACAUUGAAAUAAACAUCUUGUAUUUGAAUAUUUUAUUGUUAAACUAUAUGAUAAUGUAACUUUCAUUUUCUUUCAUUUAUCUGGAUCAAUAUUUCAAAAAAUAAAGUUAAACAGUACCGCUCAACUACACAGGUAUCAAGUAGGUUACUGACAUUUAGACGUGGUAAAUUCAAAUUCAAUGAUAUAUAUCAUUUUGUAUAAAAUAAACGUUCCUGCAUGUUAAUUCUUGUGAAACCGCGGGUGGGCUGCACUACCUAUACUAUUCAGUGAUUCGUUCAAUACUACCGCCGUACGUACAGACGUCUAACAUUGUCUCAUCUAUCAUGUCGAUUACGUAGCGCCAGGCACUGCCCAAGAUCGUUGACUGUUGGUUGUUAUGUUUGAGGCUACGCAAAGCAUCGUCUAUGAUUGGUUAUAACUUAUAAGUUAUAAUAACGCUUAGAGUUUUAAGAGAUCGCAAGGCGAUAAUCAAUGACGAUUGUUGUAUGCGACGGUCGUCGAUAUACGUGAUACAACGUCCAGCGCUGUUUGUGGUUGAUCUUCAUGCGUCACCUAAUGUUGUCAUUUGUUAUUGGUCAGUUCGUACGUGAUGGUGACACCUAUCAUGUUGUUGCAAUAUUGCCGUUAUAUGGAUCCACGCACCAUCAUGUCUUACGAAUUAGCUACGAUGUCUCACUGUAUUCGAAAAGCUAAUGUAUUAUGCAGCGAAUAUUGACUCAACAAUAAAUGAUAAUAUUUAGUGAAAGUACUAAGUAUACACGAUAAGUAAUCGAUAAAAUGAUCGCAGCAAAGCUUUACCCUUACAUCCACGUGGUGCUGCAGACUGCAGGUAACAGAAUUCUGGUUUCGGCUAAUGAGAGAGACACUGCAGAAGGAAAACUGUAGGUAUAAAACCAACACUGACGAUCAAAAUUAUCGACCAGAGGACCAACAUAUCGUCCUUCACAACUUCCAACAACAGCAAACCGAAAACUAGGCCCAGGACCUUGGAACGCAGAGCUCAAGCACAACCAAACCUACACUUUAGUAGGUACUCCCAUCCGAAAUUGCCACUCAGCGACCGGCUUACUCCGGAGAAUUAAUAGGAUGCCCUGCAUGGCUGCACAGCGUACGGCUGAUUAUCAUUCGGGCGAUCUCGAUUGGACAAGAUAACGGCGCACAAAAUGGGACGCUGUACAGCCCCGCUAACAAAAUGCCUAGAACUGAACAACACCAACAUAGCCAAUAUAAACUACUUAUGAAAAAUUUUUUAAUAAAUUUUCAAAACUCAGAUAUAUUACCAAGAAAUUUUUUAUGAAUUUCUAAC